rnacentral:lncRNA from 1 species
UGAAUUUCUUAGUUGAUAUAUGGGGACUAUGGACUCUGCCAUCAAAUUGAAGAGUAAAGUAGCACAUGCUGCAGCUGCUGGAGAAUUUAAUAACAAUGUUCCUUAUCUGAGUGCACAAUGUGGCUGAAAUUAAGGUAACUAACAUAUUAUUUUCUGUUUGGAUUCUAAUUACUGAAUUUAUUUGAGUGUACAUUCAAAACCAUGCAUGCUGAGUGUUGGAUUAUCAGGAAAAUACUACUACUAUGCUUAAAUUAUAUUUUCUUUUUCUUUUUUUUUGGGUUAAUUUAUAUGCAUAUAUAAUUUGACAGCUGAUGAGUUUUCAGUUGAGCUAGCUGAAGGGCUUGCUUUUAAUUUGUUGCUGUUCAUGAUGAUGAAUCCAAGCUCUUUAUGGUCGUUUUACUCUCUUUCACAGUUUGUGAACAAUUUAUAGUUGGCGAUGGUUGAUUCCUCAAGUAGCAAUUAUUUCAUGCUCAUUGUGUGGCAUUCUUCAUUGUAUUAUAGUUUCUGGAGAAAGAAGUGACGAGGUUGAAAAGAAUAGUGAAGCUUGUACUUGGAAACUCAAGUGCACAAGAAUCAUCUCUUAUGUUACAGAUUGUUAAUUUUCAUUUACUUUCAAGCCUUUUUUUUAAUUUUGUUUUUCACUUUCUAAUUAUAGAAACUAACCAUAACAGGGUUUUGUAACUGAUAGACCAGAUUAUCACAAGCACAUAAAUCUUCUAAUGGCAGUGUUGCAUUUUUCGGCCUCUCUAAACUUGUAUAAGGACUAAUGUCUAAAUUUAGAAUCCAACUCCUGCUGUUGACUUCAAAAUUAGCAUAUUUGCUUAUUGAGACAAAAUUUUGGUCUAAUGAUUAUUAUCCAUUCCAGUCUCAUAUUUUGUCAGGCUUCUUAAGCAUAUCUUGGAUAUAAUACUUAUGCUCAGCUCUAUACAAAGUGAUUGUCGAAUAUAACCUACUAUUAUACUAGUUACUGAUUUGAUAAUUUACUGAUUAAUAUUUCUUCGUUGAUCUAGGAUAUUAUUUGGUCUACUAAUGAUGAUGUGGGGAUGGAGCAGAUUCAUAUUUCUUGAUUCAUAUAGGAUAUUAUUUGGUCGAAUGAAGAUGAUGAUGGGAAUGGAGAAGAUAAGGUGGAGGCAAACGUACGUCUCAGAGACUAAAGAACACGUGUUGGAGGAUGCUUGAAAUAAUUCAAGCUAUGAAAUCAUAUUGCGUAUACAUUUGAGAAUUUUUUUUAAUAUACUAUUAAAAUUGAUUAUGUUGUACUUUUGAUUGGUGAAUGUGAUAUCUAUAAAUUUUUUAAAUUAAUAAAGCUACAUUUAAUGUAUUUUGCGUGUUGCUAUUGCCAUU